rnacentral:rRNA from 1 species
AUACGGAGGGUCCGAGCGUUAUCCGGAUUUAUUGGGUUUAAAGGGAGCGUAGGCGGGAAGUCAAGUCAGCUGUGAAAUGUAGUCGCUCAACGUCUGCACUGCAGUUGAAACUGGUUUUCUUGAGUGCGUAAGGGGCAGGCGGAAUUCGUCGUGUAGCGGUGAAAUGCUUAGAUAUGACGAAGAACUCCGAUCGCGAAGGCUGCCUGCCGGGCCGCAACUGACGCUGAAGCUCGAAGGUGCGGGUAUCGAACAGGAUUAGAUACCCUGGUAGUCCGCACAGUAAACGAUGGAUACUCGCUGUCGGCGAUAAACGGUCGGUGGCCAAGCGAAAGCGCUAAGUAUCCCACCUGGGGGGUACGCCGGCAACGGUGAAACUCAAAGGAAUUGACGGGG